rnacentral:rRNA from 1 species
UACGUAGGGGGCAAGCGUUGUCCGGAUUUAUUGGGCGUAAAGCGCGUGUAGGCGGCCUGGAAGGUCAGCUGUGAAAACUCGAGGCUCAACCUCGAGACGUCGGUUGAAACCACCUGGCUAGAGUCCGGAAGAGGAGUGUGGAAUUCCCGGUGUAGCGGUGGAAUGCGCAGAUAUCCGAUAGAAGACCGGUGGCGAAGGCGGCCUGCUGGGCAGUAACUGACACUGAGGCGCGACAGCGUGGGGAGCAAACAGG